GUUGAACGCUGGCGGAAUGCUUUACACAUGCAAGUCGAACGAUGAAGCCUAGCUUGCUAGGUCGAUUAGUGGCGAACGGGUGGGUAAUAUAUCGGAACGUAUCCAAUAAUGGGGGAUAACUAGUCGAAAGAUUGGCUAAUACCGCAUACGCCCUACGGGAGAAAGCUGGGGAUCGUAAGACCUGGCGUUAAUGGAGCGGCCGAUAUCUGAUUAGCUAGUUGGUGAGGUAAAGGCUCACCAAGGCGACGAUCAGUAGCUGGUCUGAGAGGACGACCAGCCAAACUGGAACUGAGACACGGUCCAGACUCCUACGGGAGGCAGCAGUGGGGAAUUUUGGACAAUGGGCGAAAGCCUGAUCCAGCCAUUCCGCGUGAGUGAAGAAGGCCUUCGGGUUGUAAAGCUCUUUCGCAAGGGAAGAACACUUACUUAAUAACACUAAGUGAGGUUGACGGUACCUUGAUAAGAAGCACCGGCUAACUACGUGCCAGCCGCCGCAGUAAGAC
rnacentral:rRNA from 1 species